UAAAAGACGAUGAAGAGAAGAGUAAAUAUAGUAUGACGUUUCAGCGAGUUGAUGAUGGUGAGAGAUCAACACUAAGUCUAUAUUGAAAAACAUCUCUGAGUUGCUAACCGAAAUCCGAAUAGGAGAGUAGACUUAGCCGGAUCCAAACCGUUAUUCAUUGGACAGUAUCGAUUGAAUGCGAACUAGCAGUCAUUCCGUAUUGAUUUAGAGUGGGCAGUAAUGCUAACUAAGGUGGUACCACGGAGAUUCAGUUCUUCGUCCUUAUA
rnacentral:ncRNA from 1 species